rnacentral:rRNA from 1 species
GAUGAACGCUGGCGGCGUGCCUAAUACAUGCAAGUCGAGCGAACAGACGAGGAGCUUGCUCCUCUGACGUUAGCGGCGGACGGGUGAGUAACACGUGGAUAACCUACCUAUAAGACUGGGAUAACUUCGGGAAACCGGAGCUAAUACCGGAUAACAUGUUGAACCGCAUGGUUCAACAGUGAAAGACGGUCUUGCUGUCACUUAUAGAUGGAUCCGCGCCGCAUUAGCUAGUUGGUAAGGUAACGGCUUACCAAGGCAACGAUGCGUAGCCGACCUGAGAGGGUGAUCGGCCACACUGGAACUGAGACACGGUCCAGACUCCUACGGGAGGCAGCAGUAGGGAAUCUUCCGCAAUGGGCGAAAGCCUGUCGGAGCAACGCCGCGUGAGUGAUGAAGGUCUUCGGAUCGUAAAACUCUGUUAUUAGGGAAGAACAAAUGUGUAAGUAACUAUGCACGUCUUGACGGUACCUAAUCAGAAAGCCACGGCUAACUACGUG